UGCUGUUUGCUUUGAGGAUGCAGCGUGUGGAGUAUAUGUGGUCUCCCAGUCAGGAAAUCCAGGAUCCAGUUGCAGAGGGAGGUGUUGGUGCCCAGCAGACUCACUAGUAGAGAGAAAUUGUACCAUGGUCAAAUAAGUCAAACUUAAAAAAAGUCCUUGUUCAUCUUAAGUAGAAGCUGGUUCUCAAAGUUAUGCCAAUUAAUUGCUCCCCUUCUUGGGCUGAAGAUCAAUCCAGCUUCACUAAAAAGUCUCUCACAGGCCUCUGAGGCAGGGAGGGCUGUGUCCAGCUUAAGUGACAGGUUGGAUAAGGAAAGAAAGGAAAGAAAACAUUUUCUGAUUCCACAAGCAAGUUGUCUGUUACAGAACUCGAUAGUGAUCCAGUGCAAUCACACAAUCUAGACUAUUACAGCAUUACAGCAUGUCUAAGAUCAUAUUAAUUAGGUCUACUGCAUCCUCGCUGUCUAACCUGGACUUUGUCCUGACUCCGAGCCGCUCAACAGCUGGCAUUUCUCACUUAACAUCUGUCUGUGCAGAAGAUUUAUUCAUCUUCUGCACGCGCUUCAUGCUCAUGAGGGUCGCAGAGUGAACGAGUCAGGAAUACACUCUGGAUGAAACCCCAGUGCUACACACACACAAACACACACAUACACACACACACAAACACACACACACACAAACACACACACACAAACACACACAUACACACACACACAGGGCACAAUUUAGUAUUAAAUCCACCCACUGCUCCCAUUGUGUGUAAGCUCUAGAGAGAGUGUGGUGUGUGGAAACCCCUGAAGUCAAGUUCGCCGAUGACACGACCGUGGUGGGUCUCAUCAGCAAGAACGAUGAGUCAGCAUACAGAGAGGAGGUGCAGCGGCUAACAGCCUGGUGUAGAGCCAACAACCUGUCUCUGAACGUCAACAAGACUAAAGAGAUGCUUGUUGACUUCAGGAGAGCACAGAGUGACCAUUCUCCACUGUUCAUCGACGGAUCCUCUGUGGAGAUCGUCAAGAGCACCAAAUUCCUUGGUGUUCAUCUGGCAGAGAACUUCACCUGGUCACUCAACACCAGCUCCAUCACCAAGAAAGCCCAGCAGUGCCUCUACUUCCUGAGGAGGCUGAGGAAAGCCCACACUGCAAAAACUAAAAUCUAAGAAAGUAAAAAAAGUCUUAUUUCUAGAAAAUAUGUCUUGUUUUUUGACAUGAAAGAUAAAAAGUCUUAUAAAACAUAUUGCACAUUAGAUUAUAAAUCUUAGUUCAAUAAAUUUUGACUUGAUCGGUCUUACCAAGUAAAUUUUAACUCAUUUUAAUCUCCAUUUUACUAGAAACAUGUGACAGCUAUAAAGUGCAACCUGUUGUUCAUAUUGAGUUAGAUUGCUGUGCUAGAUUUAAGAAUAAGACCACACCUAAAAAUUCCAAUUUCAAGAAUCUUUAGUAAAGACAAAGAUUUAAGUAUUUAAUUUUUGUCUGUUCAAGUAAGAAAUUUCUGUGAACAUAAACACUUCAUGAAAAGGUGUUCCAUUCUGAUUUAUUACGUACGUAAAGUUUUGAAAAGCAUGUGACCUGAGGCUGAGCUCUGAUUGGCUUGUUUCGAAUUUUCCUCAGGCCGCAGCACUCUGCGCUCCGGACCCGCCCACUUUUGUUGUUAGCGAAUCAAUAUUAUUGUUAUAUAUUUUGGCCUCAUGUGAUUGGACCAUUCUCAACGAGUCUCAUUACCGCGCAGCAGAUGGUCAGUUAACGGACAGGUACUGAUUAAUAUGGAAGCAAGCGAAAUAUCUCGAGAUGAAAGAGAAUUCGGUUCUAUCUUUACAAAAAUAAACUUUCACAAGGAGUUCGGAUGAAGAAAAGAAAAGAAUCAAGGAGCUUGGACCACAUCGACCCAAUCUGCAAACUCAGCAGCAGUCAGUUUUUUAAUGAUUACCUUCAUUACAUUACUGAUAAUAAACCCACAUUGAACUCAGAUUCACUGAUUUACAGUACAGUAAUUGCAUGCUUUUGGGUAUUGGAUAUAAUUAUCCCAACUUCUCAUCAGUGCAUUGAUUCAGUGACGGGAUGACGUUUUGUACUGCGCAUGUGCGAGCAGUGCGCUAACGUGCUAGUUAUGAAAAGGCAUUUCCUCCUGCCAGAUUCUCACCAUGGAGGAGCUCGAUGAUGCUGCAGUUUCCACUUUAAAAGCUGCUAACAUUGGGGAAGACAUUUUACCGUCUCUUUCAAGAGAGGAUAUUUGAUAUCUCUUUCCUGGUCCUGAGCCAUUUGGCUUUUGACUCAUAAGGAAGAACAGUUGAACAUGCCAUUGCUGUUUUUACCGCCCUGCCACUGCUCUUCCCAUCCGGCUCUGCAGCACCCAAGAAAAGGGGCCCAAUCAGUGAGGCUCUUUUUCAUGUUCUUAUGGUGAGUUUUGCUUUUGUAGUGUUAUCUAAUUAGCAGGUGUUUAAGAGGCCUACACUUUCAAUUAAAUAAUGGGUUAAAAACAAGAUUUGGCUACUCAAAUUGCUCACCCAGUGUUAAAAAUAACCUGAUAAAAUUACCUACAUGCUCAGCCUUUGGCAAAAAAAAAACCCCAAACAACUCCUUUUGUAGAUUGUAAAUGCUGUUACAUGUAAUGUGAAUAUCUGAGUAAAACUCAUCUGUUAAAGGACAUUUGGAGCAGUGUGGUUGUCUGCGAUGUCUUCAUAUUUACCAAGGUGGAGCUACGACUCAAACUGGAGACAGAUGUCUCACUAAUCAUUCCCACUGCACAAUAUAUUUUGC